GACGAGCCACACAAACGUUAUUCGGAAUUACUGGGCGUAAAGCGUGCGUAGACGGUUUCGUAAGUCGGGUGUGAAAUCCCCGGGCUCAACCUGGGAAUUGCAUUCGAAACUGCGAGGCUAGGGUACGGAAGAGGGAAGCGGAAUUUCCGGUGGAGCGGUGAAAUGCGUAGAGAUCGGAAAGAACACCAACGGCGAAAGCACUCUGCUGGGCCGACACUGACACUGAGAGACGAAAGCUAGGGGAGCGAAUGGG
rnacentral:rRNA from 1 species